GAACGCAUAUUGCGCUCUUUGGUAUUCCGAAGAGCAUGCUUGUUUGAGUAUCAGUAAACACCUCAAAGACUUCAAUUUGUUUUGAAUGGCUUUGGACUUGAGCAAUCCCAACACCAGUCUUUACGAUCGGUGGAGGGUUGCUUGAAAUGCAGGUGCAGCUGGACAUUCUCCUGAGCUAAAAGCAUAUUUAUUUAGUCCUCGUCAAACAGGAUUAUUACUUUUGCUGCAGCUAACAUAAAGGAUAAUUGUCCUCUUUGCUGACUGAUGCAGGAUUUUACGACACUUUAUGUGUUGUUCAACUCGAUCUCAAAUCAAGUAAGACUACCCGCUGAACUUAAG
rnacentral:misc_RNA from 1 species